UACGAGGGGGGCAAGCGUUGUUCGGAAUUAUUGGGCGUAAAGGGUGCGUAGGCGGUCUGAUAAGUCAUCUGUGAAAUCUAUGGGCUCAACCCAUAGUCUGCAGGCGAAACUGUCGGGCUUGAGUAUGGGAGAGGUGAGUGGAAUUUCCGGUGUAGCGGUGAAAUGCGUAGAUAUCGGAAGGAACACCUGUGGCGAAAGCGGCUCACUGGACCAUUACUGGCGCUGAUGCACGAAAGCUAGGGGAGCAAACAGG
rnacentral:rRNA from 1 species